UACGAAGGGGGCUAGCGUUGUUCGGAUUUACUGGGCGUAAAGCGCACGUAGGCGGAUUGUUAAGUCAGGGGUGAAAUCCUGGAGCUCAACUCCAGAACUGCCUUUGAUACUGGCAAUCUAGAGUCCGGAAGAGGUGAGUGGAACUCCUAGUGUAGAGGUGGAAUUCGUAGAUAUUAGGAAGAACACCAGUGGCGAAGGCGGCUCACUGGUCCGGUACUGACGCUGAGGAGCGAAAGCGUGGGGAGCGAACAGG
rnacentral:rRNA from 1 species